rnacentral:rRNA from 1 species
GAUGAACGCUGGCGGCGUGCUUAACACAUGCAAGUCGAACGAAGCAUUUAAGACAGAUUACUUCGGUUUGCAGUCUUUUAUGACUGAGUGGCGGACGGGUGAGUAACGCGUGGGUAACCUGCCUCAUACAGGGGGAUAGCAGCUGGAAACGGCUGGUAAUACCGCAUAAGCGCACAGUACCACAUGGUACAGUGUGAAAAACUCCGGUGGUAUGAGAUGGACCCGCGUCUGAUUAGCUUGUGGGCGGGGUAACGGCCCACCAAGGCGACGAUCAGUAGCCGACCUGAGAGGGUGACCGGCAACAUUGGGACUGAGACACGGCCCAGACUCCUACGGGAGGCAGCAGUGGGGAAUAUUGCACAAUGGAGGAAAGUCUGAUGCAGCGACGCCGCGUGAGUGAAGAAGUAGUUAGCUAUGUAAAGCUCUAUAAGAAGGGAAGAUAGUGACGGUACCUGAAUAAGAAGCACCGGCUAAAUACGUG